rnacentral:lncRNA from 1 species
UUUACUCAUGAAUUUUGCACAAUUUUAGCUUGAUUAUUUGCUAGAUCUUGUGAGCAUAGAAUGUUUUGAUGUGUUUGUUAGUGUUGUUUUGAAGAUUAGAAAAGGUGAUGCCAAAAGAGGAACAAAAGCGGACAAAGAGAUCAAAAAUAAGAAAAUUGGAGCAGAAAGACAGCGCCUAGGUGCUACAAAAUUGAAGAAAAACUGAAAUUUGAACUCGAAAGACAGCGCCUAGGUGCUGCCUUCAUAUUGUUCAGGCGCCACCGUCAGAGCUUAGGCAUUGCAAAUGUAGCGCUUAGGCGCUAUAGUUAAAUUGACGUGGCGCUUAGGCGCUAUCCCCUCGCGCUUAGGCGUUGCGUCUAGGUCAUCUAGGGCACGUUUUUGGAUCGUUUUAAAGUCCAUAAAAAUCCUAAUUUCUACACAAUACGGAGGGGGGCCUAUAAAUACAUCUUUCUCAUACUUUUGAGGGAUUCCUCACAGAUUGAGAGGCAAGACAACAAAAAGGGAGAUCCAAAAGAGAAAUUCAAGGAGAAUAACACCAAGCAAUUGAAGAUUUG